CUGCAUCCACUGACAGACCUGGAACAGUUUGGUUGUUCUUCUGGUUUGCACUAGGAUGCCAAAGAAAACGCUCUCUGUGCUUUCUGUCUGUCUCUGUGGCAGUCCAGGUUGAAUUGGAGAGUACAUCU
ensembl:snoRNA